GGCCCAUAGGGAGUGGCACUAUUAGAAGAUGUGGCCUUGUUGGAGGGGGUGUGUCUCUGGGAGUGGGCUUUGAGGUCUCAGAAUUCUCAAGCCAGGCCUAGAGGGUCACUGUUCCUUCC